rnacentral:lncRNA from 1 species
UUCCGGUUUUGCCCAUUCAACCCCUCAGCGAACAUCUCGCAAUUUCAGGAGAUCCGUCCGUCGGAUUUCUGAUCGGAUCGUGCCAGCGCGUUCAGCACGACUGGGGUAUCGAAUCUAAUAUUUCGUUUCAUUCGAUUUGAUCUCCGAUUCACGACGAAACCGACCCUCGUUGUUUCCACCAUAACACCACAUAUUUAUAUAUGUAAAACCGAUCAAACCCCUUUUUCUCCACAACUGUGCAUUAGAUUUGAAAUCCGUCAGUGCCAUUAAUUCCAGAAUAGCUGAAUCAUUCGAAACGAGCUAUUGGACUGCUAUGAACGGAGUCCGAUACGCACCAAAAGCCAACUCUACUCCGUGGUUUCUCCGGAAAAACCAAGUUACUAUUCACUUAAGUGAAAAUUAAAGAUCACGUAACUUCUCCGUUCUAGCUUAUUUUCUCCUGAAACUUGACGAGUGCUUAUGUAAUUAAAUUACACAUAUAAACAUCGUCAACCAAGAGUUUAGCUGCACUGCCAAAAUCUCAGUCCUUAUAGGUUAUUACAGGAGGGUUUUCUGUAAUUUAGCCUAAAAGAAAACCUGAACUAUGGAUCAUUCAGAAUCUACUGUUUAACAUUUUAAAAUUCUGAUUUUAUCAUCUAAUUUUUCAAUUUGUUUAAUUUGUGUCGGGUGACAACACUUUAACUUUAAAAUUUAAAGUAAUUUUUUACUUUAAUAAAAAAUUAUAGUUUCUAGAAUUGCAUAAAGUAUACCAACUAAAUUUGUAAAAACAAUUAAACCAUAAAUUAAAAUUUUGAAGUCAAAUUAAGUGUCGUCAGCUGACUCAAAUCAAACAACAUGAAAGAUUAGAUAAUAAAAUCAAAUUUUCAAAAGGUGGGAUAACCGAUUUAAAAUGGUCAAUAAUUUAUAUAAAUUUUUUAUAUUUUUACUUAUUUAUAUAUAGGGUCUGACUGAAAUGCUUCUACUGUAAGAAGAAGUCUACUGUGUCACACUUGCAGCACAUCAGCAAUAACAAAUCAAUCAUAUCUCUUCUUUAAAAACCAUAGUAAAAAUAUUCUUUUAUAAUCAUAAUAUGAUAAAUUAAUUUUAAAAUAUUUAUAUAAUUAAUCAAAAAUAACAUAUCAGAUUAAUAUAAUCGGCGUAUUCUAAAAUAUUUUUCUAGGCAUUUAUUUUCGUUGCAGACACAUGGGCCAGUGUGCAGUACGAUGUACCUUAUCUGCUUUGGCGCGCCGCGGCAACUUGUCCCUCCUGCCACGUGGGACGGUGGGACCCCAUACAAAUCAGGUUAAUUGUAUCAUUGGUCCCCAGCUUUUACCAGAUUUUUAUUUUAAAACCCACCUUUUUAUUUUUGGAAAAAAACUUCAAAUAUUUUCGUACUUUCUUAGUUUAGUACCAUAUAAUUUAAAAUGUGUCAAUUUAGUGCAUUAUAAUUUCUUUUUUUUUUUUAUUAUCAAUUUCACUAUUUUUUUUAGUUAAAUUAGUAAUAAAAUUAAAACUAAAUGAUACUAAAAUAAAUAUUCAAUAAACUUAAAUAGAAUAUCUGAAGUUUUGUGUAUAUAAUUUAACGAAAUAAUAACGAAAAGCUGAUGAAAAGAUAAAAAUUAAACCACGGGACACUAACUUGAUUGAACCUAAAGGUGUCCGUAGACCGGGUCGGAUUUGGGUAGUUGAUAUACUGUACCCGUACCCUAAAAAAAAAUGAUUAAAAAUAUAUAUAUAUACCCUACCCAUUUAACAUCAGGUCGGGUCUGGAUCUGGGUACUUAAGUUACUAAUAUACCCAUUGAGUCUAUUUGAGCGGGUCUGGGUAGUGACUAUCCGUAUACUACCCAUUCAAAAUCGGUUACGGGUCGGAUACGGGUACCCGUAUAUAUAUAUAUAUAUAUAUAUAUAUAUAUAUAUAUAUAUAUAUAUAUAUAUAUAUAUAUAUAUAUAUAUAUAUAUAUANCGGCCAUUAUAUUUACUGAUUAAAAGUCUAAAAUUCAAAAUAAUUUUUUAUAUAAACACAAAAAAAUUAAAAAAUUAUGAUACCAUAUUAUAGAUAAAUAGAAUGUAAGUUGUAGUAAUUACUAAUAUUAUAUAAUAACAUUCAAAAAAAAGGGAAAAAAAAAAAGAUGAAUUAGAAAAUUUACGAAAUAGAAUAUUCAUUAAAAAAAACUAGAUUGUCGACUAUGAUUGGAAAAAGGAUUUGAAAAAAAAACUCACUUGUACCACACCUGUAAAGGAUUAAUAUCGCUAAUGAUGACUACGAUAGAAAUAUUGUUUCAUAAAAAACUCUUAGACUGAAAUGAAAUAAAAAAAAUAAAGAGUUAAAAACAAAAAGUAAAAAAAUUAGAAAAAGAAAGUAGUAAAAGAGCGGCUAAGAUUUCAAUGUUUUUUAGGAUGAAAAUACUUAGAAAUCCCUCGUCUAUAAGUCCAAUCAAAAUUGACCCCUCAACUUUAAAAAUUCAAAAUUUUUUUAUUUACUAUCGGAUAUUUUAUCGGGUCCGGAUUUAAAAACUCUUCCGGACCUCACCCAUUUAAAAGUUGGGUUCGGGUCGGGUCCAAAUCGAGUAUGGGUAUAAAAUAUCCGGACCCAUACCCGAAACUUUAAUGGGUAUUUUUUUUUACUCGUAUACUAUCCAUUUUUUAUCGGGUCCGGUUCGGACCGGGAUAGGGUCCGGGUUGGGUCCGGAUCGGGUAUGAUAUAUCGAAUAUUUUGGACAGCUUUAAUUGAACCACAGGACACUAAAGUGAGAAAAUACGAAAUUACAGAGUUGGUAUUUGAAGUUUCCUUUUAUUUUUGGCACCUAUAUCUCAAUCACGGUCCCUCACUUUUUAUCGCUCAAUUUUGUUUUUAGAAAAAAAAAUUUGGUCCCCAAUCUCUUCUCCUACAUGCUUUUCAGUAAUUUUUUCAGAAACUUGUAUAAGUUAAUAUUGAAGCACCAUCCACUUGGUACUUCUAAGUUUUUAACCCUUGGAUCCACUUCAUAAUUACUAAUAUCGCUUGGAUCAAAUACUAUUCCACCUACCACCACCGACCAUCACCUACCACCAUCAUCUCAACCUCACAUCUCUCCAUCUAAGGGCUAAAAACUCUAAAGCACCACCCACUUGGUACUUUUGGGAGUAUUCUAGCUCCACUAUAUAUAUAUAUAUAUAUAUAUAUAUAUAUAAAGCAGGGCUGCUGUGCUCUCCGUGCUUUUGAGCCGUUUUCGAUGAUGAAAUUUUCGACUCGACGAUCGGCUCCGUUAGACUUGAUCUAGCGUAUUUGAAGCUUCUAGAAAAUAAUUUUUGCGAUUUUUUGAUAUCAUUUACCUAGUGAUCGAAAUGAUUCAAAAUCAAUAAUUUUUAAUGGUUGAUAUCCGCCGUUAACGAUGUAGAAGUAUUCAAAUCAGAUAAAAUUUUGAUACAAAAUUCUUUAUACUAUCUACAAUAAGAUCAAUAUUUCUAAUCGAAAAUUUUAGUACUAUAUCACCACUUUUUAUAGGAUUUUUAUUUUCAGCCGUUAAAAAUUAUUGAUUUUAAAUUCUUUUGAUUACUAGGUAAAUGAUAUCGAAAAAUCGCAAAUAUUAUUAUCUAGAAACUUCAAAUACGCUAGAUCAAGUUUAAUGGAGCCGAUCGUUGAUUCGGAAACUCCAUUAUCGAAAACGGCUCAGGAGCACGGAGGCCUCCGUGCUCCUGAAAGCACAGCAGUCCUGCUCUCUCUCUCUCUCUCUCUCUCUCUAAUAUAAUAUUUAUAUAUAUAUAUAAUACUAUAGUAUAUAUAGUUGAGCUAGAAUACUCUCAAAAGCACCAAAGGGUUUUUAGCUAUUAGAUAGAGAGAUGCAGGAUUGAAAUGAUGGUGGUAUGUAGUGAUAGGUGGAAUAGUAUUUGAUCCAAAGGUUAUUAGUAAUCAAGGAGUAGAUUAAAGGGCUAAAAACUCAAAAGCACCAAAAGGUUGGUACUUCUGAGAGUAUUCUAGCUCAAUUAUUUAUAUAUAUAUAUAUAUAUAUAUAUAUAUAUGAACUAUAAAUUAUUUUGCAUUGACUACAAAAUUUUCAAUCUUUUAUUUUGUUUCAUUUUAGCCUAUUAAUAAUACUUUAAUCCUCAAUUUAUAAUUACAAAAAUUAUAUAAAUUAUACUAAUUAAAUCUAUAAAAAUAAAUAUCAUAUUUAAAUUUUAAAGCCAAAAAGCUCAAGUGUUAUUGACCUAUUCAAAUCAAAAUAAAAAAAAAUAAAAUAAAAUCAAAAUUAAAAAAAAAUCAGAUAAUAAACUCAAUAUGGUCCAUAGAAAAGUUUUGUACAAUUUUAUCAAAAUUGUAUCACUUUAUAUGGACAGGACAAUGUGAGAGAAAAAAAUAUUUUUUAUUUAAAAAAUAUUUAGGAAAUAUUUAAGACACAUAAAAAUCUAUUUUUUUUUAGAAAUCUACUAUACCAUACUUGCACCUAAACAUUAAUAAUAAAUCAAUUAUAUCACUCUAUUUGCAAAAAAAUAUAUAAUAAAAAUAAUUUUUUGUCACGCCCCGGGGUCCCUUUCGGUUUAAGAGAUAGCGGAAAAGCGUCUGAAAUUUUUUUUUUUGAAAACCUGACCCCAGAGUAUGUCAGAUCCGCCACAAAUAUAGGAGAUCCACUAUUCACACGGACAGAAUCUCCCCUGUAUUUGCACGGCGUCGCACAAGUACAAGAAUACAACCAGGAUACAACCACAACUAGAUGAAUAUAAAGAUCGCUAUACAUUCAUACAUUCACCAUUCACAUCACAGUUUUACAUUCAAUGUUUAAACAGAAAUCCAUAAAAAAAAUCCUUUUGAAAACUGUUUUCUAUACGGAAACCUUUAUUCUUUAAAAACGCUACCACGAGGGGUAGAAAACCUUUUAUUACAUUCAUGAAAAUCCACAUAUUCAAAUGUAAUAAAAAUACUGAACCAUAUAAACUAUCUAAGCUAUAUAUC